GCAAUCUGAGGACUUAGUUCACCGCACUCGCUCCGUCCGUGUCCACCUCUACCCUGUGUCCCAUCUCAACGACCUCGCCCUAGCAAAUCCUCCAUCCAAUCAUUCCGAUCGUCCUCUAGCCGGCAAUGUCUGCUGCUCGAACUCCAUCUCCAUCAAGGAUCUCCACUCCCAUAGAGCCUUCUCUGCCCGCCUCCACUUCGUUUGAUGACUCCGUUGAUGAUCAGAUAGCCGUAGUAGGGAAAGAAGUGGUUGGAGAUGUUGGGGAUUGAUCUGAUGGAUUCGAGGAUGGCUUGAUCCGGAGCACGGUGCCUGAUUGUGAGUUGUUGGAAAAAUCGAUUAUCUCCAAGGAUGGGAUUGGUGGAGCGGUGAGGGUUUUUGGAGAGGAAGGUGCUCGUCGACCGCUGCUGCGUUCGAGGAAUCAACCCACCGAGCGAUUGGGGCUUGUUCCUUGCUUCCUUGCUCGCGAUUGAAGCUUUAUGGAAACCCAAAAACUUUUAGCUACAAAAGAUUGCUUCCAUUUCUCAUGGAAAUUGAUAGUUCAAGUAAUUUCACUAGACCACUACCCUUUGACACUUCCAUCAUUGCUGUCUAUUGAUUCUUCGUCAUGCCAAAACCUUCAUUGCUUCAGAUUAUCCUACAAAGAAUCCUCCAUCACAUAAAGUAAAUUCCUUCCCAGAAGGAAAGCAUGAAGUUCAAGGCAUUGGAGAAUCUUUGAAUACUCAAAUGAGUUUUAAUUUAAACGUUGCUGAAAGACAUGUUGGUGAAAACCACAACUUGAGAACUUUUAAUGUUGCCGAUCACAAACCAACAAGAAUAUCAGCACUGAAUGAUGAAAGGCAAGGGGAAAUUAAUGACAUGAAACCAAGGGCUACUCAAGAAGGUGGCAGUUUUGAAUUGGAGCUUAUGAUCGGAUCAUUUCAUUUGCCACCAGACAGGCCUCCAAGUGCUAGCAAUUGCAGGUCUGACAAAGAAAGUUGAAGAAGUUUGCCAGAAAGUAAUAUCAUACAUGGAUAAGACCACCGUUGCAGGUGCUUCUUCACGUGGAGUUCCCUUUCCAAUGGGACACAGUGUUUUUGCUCCGAAACGAGGUAUUUUGAAGAGCCAAAAGAGUGGAUGCCGAGGCCCCUGCCGAUGUUUGGAUUGUAUUACUUUUCUUGUUCAUGCCGAGAAGGGAUUUGAAUUCUCCAAGAAACGGAUACAUGGAGCAGAUGAUCCCAUAGUAGGGCUAAUGAAGGAACUUUCACACCUAAGGAGUUUAGUGGAGAAAUCAGUGCUUAGAGUCGAAGACAAAAAAUACCAUUCAGACCUUCAGCUCAACGAGGAAUCAUCAGCAGUUGAAAGAAGCCUGCCAAAGAGCACUCAAAGCAGAGGAGACAACAAAGAGCUUCUUCAGCCAUAUGUUCAAUGGCCUCAAUGAACAUUGCCGAAUUCCUGGACGAUGUGUGACAUUUGCAGAAUGCACUGCACAGAACAACAUACAAUGAUUGUCUUAAGUGUCUCUAAUGCAUCUUCUGUUAUUUUUUGCCAUUUCUUGUUAUUAAAUAAUGAAAAAGCUUCAUCUCUUUCAGGAAAUGAACAUCACUAAACUUCAAAUAGUGCUUGUUAAUUUGUACUCCCCAUAAAAGCAAGGAGACCAAGAAAUCUUCCCUGAAUUACUCUCUUCAAGUUUUUGUAAAUAUUAUAUGAGAUUUAUUAUUGU